rnacentral:rRNA from 1 species
GACGAACGCUGGCGGCGUGCCUAAUACAUGCAAGUAGAACGCUGAAGAGAGGAGCUUGCUCUUCUUGGAUGAGUUGCGAACGGGUGAGUAACGCGUAGGUAACCUGCCUGGUAGCGGGGGAUAACUAUUGGAAACGAUAGCUAAUACCGCAUAACAACAGUUGUUGCAUGACAGCUGUUUAAAAGAUGCAAUUGCAUCACUACCAGAUGGACCUGCGUUGUAUUAGCUAGUUGGUGAGGUAACGGCUCACCAAGGCGACGAUUCAUAGCCGACCUGGGAGGGGGAUCGGCCCCACCUGGACUUGGACACGGCCCCGACUCCCACGGGAGGCAGCAGUAAGGAAUCUUUGGCAAUUGGGGGAACCCUGACCGAGCAACGCCGCGUGAGUGAAGAAGGUUUUCGGAUCGUAAAGCUCUGUUGUAAGAGAAGAACGGGUGUGAGAGUGGAAAGUUCACACUGUGACGGUAUCUUACCAGAAAGGGACGGCUAACUACGUG